rnacentral:ncRNA from 2 species
CAUUGUGCGCGGGCUGAUGGUGUCCUUUACGGGAUGAAAAGGGAAGAACGGUGCAAGGCCGUCGCUGCCCCCGCAACUGUAAGUUACCCAUGGUGUUCCGUAUGGGCUUUAGGGUCCAAUAUGCCACUGGCCUCCGUGCAGGCUGGGAAGGUAGGGAGCGCUGAUUUAUGUUCUGGCCUGUAAGGCAGGGCAUAUGUGGGUACAAGCCAGGAAACCUGCCAUUGGUGCCUGUAUGCG